GACGAACGCUGGCGGCGUGCCUAACACAUGCAAGUCGAACGGAAAGGCCCGGCUUUUGUGGGGAGCGCGAGUGGCGAAGGGGGGAGCAACACGUGAGUAACCAGUAACUGACCGAGGGAGAAGUUAAGGAAACAGGGGCUAAUACCGGAAAGGAGCUAUUGCUGCAGGGUGGGGGCUGGUAGGUUUCGGUGGUUGGGGAUGGACUAGCGGCCUAUCAGCUUGUUGGGGGGGUAGUGGCUUACCAAGGCUUUGACGGGUAGCCGGCCUGCGAGGGUGACCGGCCCCGUUACGACUGCGAUACGGCCCAGCCUCCUACGGUACGCAACGGUGGAGAGUAUUACACAAUAGGCGGGGGCCUGGUGCGACAACGCCGCGUGCGGUAUGACGGCCUUCGGUUUGUGAACCACUUUCGCCUGUGACGAGACGUGAGUGACGGUACUGGGUGAAUAAGCACCGGCUAACUACGUG
rnacentral:rRNA from 1 species